UUUCAGCCUACCGCACAUCAUUCGCAAUAUGGCGGUGAUUGUUUGUAAACAUUUCACAAAAUUUGCCAGCAGAAAAAACAGUGAGAAGAGCGAAACCGCGAAAAAACCUUCUAAGUAGAACGAUUAUUAUCAUUCGUGUUUCAGUUUCGGGUGAAUGCAACAAGUUUAAUUUUUGGAAAAAUACAAGCUUGUGCGGGACAUCGCUUCCAAGCUGGAAUUUUCCGUUCGCUGCCCCGUCGCCCACGGUUCAAUAAACAAACUUCCUAUCUAUUCGGCGCACCAUGUUCCUCACGGUUGGAGCUGUCCACGAUCGCAUCAAAUGGUCAUAUACCGGCGACUGCAGUAAAUCAAAUCCCUGUGGAAUGACGCAACUGAUCGACGUGCUGCCGAAUCUUCCGCUGUCCGGAUUAUGGAUAACUCGGUCGGCCAGUUUCUUUUGGACACGGCUGCCACCUUUUGAGUCUAACCGACCUGGACCCGGAAGAUCAAAAUAUGUAUAGCGAAAUAAAUGUUGACUCUUUCUUUUUCCGCUUGGACGCGGGCCUUGAUCUA